GACGAACGCUGGCGGCGUGCCUAAUACAUGCAAGUCGAGCGAAUCUUCUGGAACUUGUUCCGGAAGGUUAGCGGCGGACGGGUGAGUAACACGUGGGCAACCUGCCUGUAAGACUGGGAUAACACCGGGAAACCGGUGCUAAUACCGGAUAAUCCUUUUCCUCUCAUGAGGAAAAGCUGAAAGUCGGUUUCGGCUGACACUUACAGAUGGGCCCGCGGCGCAUUAGCUAGUUGGUGAGGUAACGGCUCACCAAGGCGACGAUGCGUAGCCGACCUGAGAGGGUGAUCGGCCACACUGGGACUGAGACACGGCCCAGACUCCUACGGGAGGCAGCAGUAGGGAAUCUUCCACAAUGGACGAAAGUCUGAUGGAGCAACGCCGCGUGAGCGAUGAAGGCCUUCGGGUCGUAAAGCUCUGUUGUUAGGGAAGAACAAGUACCGGAGUAACUGCCGGUACCUUGACGGUACCUAACCAGAAAGCCACGGCUAACUACGUGCCAGCCGCCGCGGUAACAC
rnacentral:rRNA from 1 species